AGAACUGGCACGGACCGGGGAAUCCGACUGUCUAAUUAAACAAAGCAUUGCGAUGGCGCUGGUCCGUGUUGACGCAAUGUGAUUUCUGCCCAGUGCUCUGAAUGUCAACGUGAAGAGAUUCAUCAAAGCGCGGGUAACGGCGGGAGUACUAUGACUCUCUUGUGUAGCCAAAUGCUCGUCAUCUAAUUAGUGACGCGCAUGAAUGGAUUAACGAGAUUCCCACUGUCCCU
rnacentral:ncRNA from 1 species